AGCACUGUUUGUUUUACCCAAAUAUGUUUUGUUAAAAUAACACACAUACAUUUCAUUCCCCAUCAAAACACUAUUGUAUUGCGUUUAAUUAACUUAAAAUGUGUCAUGUUCCACUAUACUUAAUAAUCAGUCGUUAAACUAACGUAAAGCAUUUAAUUUCGCGAUUCAAAAAACCGGAAGUGACGAUUUCCAACGUAUUGGAUGAAAACAGCGCGAAAGAGGGAAGAUGGUGAAUCGUGUCAGACGAGGUUUUUGGAAAGCACUUUGAAACGACUGAUGACAUCGAAGUGAGGAGAGUGUGUAUAAUUGAAGCUCUUUGUGCCUACCUAAAUGAAGAACCUACCAGACUGUUUCAGGAGUGUUUUGAUACAGACAAUGCCACUGCAGAGGAGGCGAUCCAGGAUAUAUGGCAUUUAAUAAUUGUUAGACAUCGUUACACUACCAUCUGGACAUUUUGGUUGCAUGUUUGAUUUCUUUUUUUUUUUUUUCUUUUUUUUUUUUUUUUUUACUUCUUGUAAAUGUAUUUUAUUUAAUUGUAGUUAUCUUGUUAGCCGAGUUUUAAUUUUCACCUUCUGACUUUGUUUUUGAAUCAAAAGACUGCAGUUAUUUUAGAUAAUCUUAUAUUUUGCAUAAGAAUUUUGCACAUGUUCAAAAACUCAUAUUUAUAUAUUCUUAUAUACAUAUUAUAUAUAAAUAUAUAUACUCAUAUAUAUUUACUGAGCAGGCUGUUUAAAACACUGUUUAUUGCAAGUUUGGCAAAUACAGCUUUAUAAAUUGUUACAUUUCUUUGUGGGUUUUUUUACUCUACAAGACAAUCACACACAAACAAAUGCUGUUUUGAAGGGCGUAACUUUAAAUCGAAAUCAUUGAGUAACAGUAACAAAAGCCAAUUGGAUGGAACCACUGUCCAUAAUUUAAUUGAGUUAUUUGAAACUAAUCUCCUUGUGUUGGCUGAAUUAAACCUGUUUGGCCAAUUUUAAAUAAACAAAAUUAUGUCCAGUUAACUUAAACAGUUUAAAUUACAAGGAAGCAAUUCCAUUGAUUUGUUUGGACAUUACUUUUUUACAUAGAUUCAUCCUUAUUCUGUUGUGUUGUCACAACACAAGAAGUUUACAUAGGUUCAAAACCUUCCAUUAAUGUUAAUGAAACGCAAGUUGCUUGUGUGGAACCACUGUCCAUAAUUGAAUUAAGUAAGAUGAACAAAUCGUUUUUUUGA